rnacentral:lncRNA from 1 species
CUUUGAUCAAAUUGGCAUUGAGUCAUUAAUGAAGAUGGAACUUCCACUCUCUCUCAAUGUUUGACUGUUGAGUGGAAUAAAAAUGAAAUAUUAAUUUUGAAAAUUAAGUAAUUAAAAUGGAAAUAAAUAUAAAUAAAAUAAUGUAAUGGUUUAUGAAGCAUUGGGAAAUAUUUGAUUCAUUGUAGAUUAGACUUAGAUAUCCAUCCAUCUUUAGUCUGACACUGUUCUGUGAAGCACAUGAGACCGAUGGAUGAAAAUGACAGGUGUUAGGCUUUGUUGGGAUGAACAGUGCACUGCAGGUAAAGAUGGGUGAUGAGGCUAAGUUCCAAGAUACAGAGCCUAUAGUUCAAAAAAAUCCACGACUUCCUUUAUUAAUUUAAUAAGAGAGAUUUCUUUACAAACAUUUUCUGAUAAUAUCAUAGAGAGGGAGAAUACCUCUGGUGUAAGAGUGGACUGAUUAAGAUGAUUUCAGUUCAGUUCUUGUUCUUGUUCUGUUGCACAGGCUGAUUGAUGUCAAGAAUAAGAAUGAGAUUGACAGUUGCUUCCUUGACGAUGGAGAUGAACAGUGGAGAGGAAGAGUAGAACCAAACGAUAGAGAUGAAUGGUCAAGUCUUACAGUGGAGAUAAUGUAGAUCCAAAAAAGGUUUUAUUGGUGCGUCCUAUCUUUUUCAACCUCCCUCCCCAAAAAACUCGCAUGAGAGUUCUUAUAUGAGCUCUGGUUCCACCCUUACCAGGGAAAGACAGGAUGUUUAUCUUUAAUGGGAGGACAACAUCCAGAAUAAUAAACAUCAUCCGACACCUGUGUGUACUCUUACAAUAUGAUUUAAUUUUAUCAGGGACAAGAGUCCACAGACUUGAUUAUAUGAUAUAUCAUUAUAUUUUUCCUUUAAAUGUGUCUUUCUCUCUCCUCCAAAUUCCUUUCUCCAUCUCUCCCUUUUUUUUUUUCUGAUCAAACAAUAAA